GAAAGAAAUUGAGCGAAGCAAAGAGAGGCUUCACUCUCUCACUUAUUACCCUGUUUUCCAGACCUUUCACCCAAGACCCCUGAGUGGUCUGACAGAUAUCCGCAAGGGUGUUGGAACGUAACCCUGUGAAUAAGGAGAGACAACUGUAGCCACUCCACCUGUGGAACAACGUGAACAACACGUGCAGAAGAAAACACAUUUACAAGGCCGGGGAAAACUAGAGCAAAGAAGAAGGCAUCUCCAAUAUAGCAAUAAAGGUUCAAGGCUUUCUCAGUUGUGCUGUCUUCCUGAGGCUGACUGUGGAGUUGACCAUAAUGGAUAAAGAACACUCUAAGGACAGUCUCAGACUACCUCCACUGAAAAUUGGGAAGAAGGGAGACAAAUAUUCUAAAUCCAAAGUGAUUUCCAAAAACGUGCUCAAAUACCUCAUCAGCAGACAAGUGGGGAGAUACCAAAACAAUGUAGACCUGUCACAGUGGGUGUGGAUGCUGAACUAAGUCACCUCACCUGAGUGCAGCUGGCUUUGCCAACAAGUCUGACUUGCAUGCUUAUAACUCCUUGGUAGUCUGAAAAUUACAAAAAGAAACAAACAAAAAACAAAACAACCAAAAAAAAAGAAUUUAGAAUAAAAGU